GACGAACGCUGGCGGCGUGCUUAACACAUGCAAGUCGAACGGAAAGGCCCUGCUUUUGUGUGAUGCUCGAGUGGCGAACGGGUGAGUAACCCGUGAGUAACCUGCCCUUGACUUUGGGAUAACUUCAGGAAACUGGGGCUAAUACCGGAUAUGAGCUCCUGCGGCAUGGUGGGGGUUGGCACGUUGCGGCGGUUGGGGAUGGACUCGCGGCUUAUCAGCGUGUUGGUGGGGUAGUGGCUGCCCAAGGCUUUGACGGGUAGCCGGCCUGAGAGGGUGACCGGGCACAUUGGGACUGAGGUACGGACCAGAGUGCAACGGGAGGCAGCAGGGGGGAAUAUUGCACAAUGGGCGGAAGCCUAAGGCAGCAACGCCGCGGGCGGGAUGACGGUCUUCGGGUUGUAAACCGCUUUCGCCUGUGACGAAGCGUGAGUGACGGUAAUGGGUAAAGAAGCACCGGCUAACUACGUG
rnacentral:rRNA from 1 species